AUGCGCGUCUCGUGGCCCCGCUGGAUCCGGUGCUCAACACCUCCAUCUCGUGCGUCACGAAGUCGCCGCCGGGGACGCUGCGCUAGUCAGUCGGAGGCCGAGCUAGCCACGUCCUCUAAGUUACCCUCCGGCAUCAUCAAGCCAAGGGAUGCGGGAGGCAUCAGUCCAUUCCUGCGGUCGACCUCAUUCUUGAUUGGAUUAGUAAACAAAGAGGGAGGAGGGGUCGGGGAUGGAGGGAUGGAGAAGCUCUCAUCGGCAGCGGCUUUCGUGGAGGGCGGUGUGUACGCCUGCGACCACACCUGCAGCAUCUGCCUCAAGGCCUUCUGCGACAGUGACUCCUCCACAGUUACAGGCUGCAAGCAUGAUUUGCAUCUCCAGUGCAUCCUUGAGUGGUGCCAGAGAAGCUCCCAGUGUCCCAUGUGUUGGCAGGCAAUCAACACGAAGGACCCUAUGAGUGCUUUGGAGAAGAUGGACAUGAGGCCCCAGCCUGCACUGGCAUAG
rnacentral:rRNA from 1 species